UAUAUGCACGGGGGAAGAGGCGGGGUAAGAGGUGGGGUGCGGGAGUUAAGAGGAAGUACUGGUCGUAAAGCGUGCGCAGGAGGCUGCUUAAGGCAGAGGUGAAAGCCCCGGGCUUAACCGGGGAACUGCGUUUGAAACUGGGGAGCUGGAGUGUAGAAGAGGGGGGGGGAAUUCCAGGUGUAGCAGUGAAAUGCGUAGAGAUCUGGAGGAACACCGAUGGCGAAGGCAGCCCCCUGGGCUAACACUGACGCUCAUGCACGAAAGCGUGGGGAGCAAACAGGAUUAGAUACCCUAGUAGUC
rnacentral:rRNA from 1 species